AUUGAACGCUGGCGGAAUGCUUUACACAUGCAAGUCGAACGGUAGAGGGGGCAACCCCUUGAGAGUGGCGAACGGGUGAGUAAUAUAUCGGAACGUGCCCAGUCGUGGGGGAUAACGUAGCGAAAGUUACGCUAAUACCGCAUACGAUCUAAGGAUGAAAGCGGGGGAUCGCAAGACCUCGCGCGACUGGAGCGGCCGAUAUCAGAUUAGGUAGUUGGUAGGGUAAAGGCCUACCAAGCCAACGAUCUGUAGCUGGUCUGAGAGGACGACCAGCCACACUGGAACUGAGACACGGUCCAGACUCCUACGGGAGGCAGCAGUGGGGAAUUUUGGACAAUGGGCGAAAGCCUGAUCCAGCCAUUCCGCGUGCAGGAUGAAGGCCCUCGGGUUGUAAACUGCUUUUGUACAUAACGAAAAGGUUUCUAUUAAUACUAGGAGCUCAUGACGGUACUGUAAGAAUAAGCACCGGCUAACUACGUGCCAGCAGCCGCGGUAAUACGUAGGGUGCAAGCGUUAAUCGGAAUUACUGGGCGUAAAGCGUGCGCAGGCGGUUAUAUAAGUCAGAUGUGAAAUCCCCGGGCUCAACCUGGGAACUGCAUUUGAGACUGUAUAGCUAGAGUACGGUAGAGGGGGAUGGAAUUCCGCGUGUAGCAGUGAAAUGCGUAGAUAUGCGGAGGAACACCGAUGGCGAAGGCA
rnacentral:rRNA from 1 species